rnacentral:lncRNA from 1 species
AAAGACAUGGAUAUCUAACCAAUUUGCUGGAUUUUUUCCCCCUUUUGGUUUUCUGAGGGGUUUAUUCCUGUGUAGCCCUGGCCAUCCUGAGAGUCAAUCUGUAGACCAUGCUGGCCUAUUUCUCAGAGAUCCACCCACCUCUGCCUCGGAUUAAAGGUGCCACACCUCCAUGGAUGAUCCAAGAGGAGGAGCACAGCUCUGGAAGCCUCCCAAUAGGACCCUCCUAUGAAGAAUUUCUUAAAGAAAAGGAAAAGCAAAAACUGAAGAAACUCCCUCCAGAUAGAGUUGGGGCCAACUUUGAUCACAGUUCCAACACCAGUGCAGGCUGGCUGCCCUCUUUUGGCAGAGUCUGGAAUAAUGGACGCCGCUGGCAGUCCAGGCAUCAAUUCAAAACUGAAGCUGCAGCAAGAAGCAGGCAGCCACAUAAAGGGAAAAGCUGAAGGUUCCCAGUCUGUUCCGAUCUCAUGGGUUAACAAACCCAUUCCAGCCAGCUAUUAUUCCUAAGACCAAAUCCUCUCCAGCUGCCUGAGGAAACAGAUGCACCCAUUCAUUUGAUUCAAUAAAGUUUUAUUUUCCCAAAUGUA